rnacentral:rRNA from 1 species
AAGUCGUAACAAGGUUUCCGUAGGUGAACCUGCGGAAGGAUCAUUAUUGAAUUUACAAUUGGGUUGCUGCUGGCCUUUAGGGGCAUGUGCACACCCUUUUUAAACUCUCCAUCCCUGUGCACAUCCUGUAGGCCGGACUUAAAACUCCAGCCUAUGUCUUUCACACACUAUAAAAGUAUCAGAAUGUUGAAUUGCUUUGGCCUUUAAAAAGUCAAAUUAAAUCUAUACAACUUUUAGCAAUGGAUCUCUUGGCUCUCGCAUCGAUGAAGAACGCAGCGAAUUGCGAUAUGUAAUGUGAAUUGCAGAAUUCAGUGAAUCAUCGAAUCUUUGAACGCACCUUGCGCCCUUUGGUAUUCCGAAGGGCAUGCCUGUUUGAGUGUCAUUAAAUUAUCAACACCAUAUUGAUUUGUUUCAACUUGGUGCUUGGAUGUUGAGGGUUUUGCUGGCGCCUUGCGUUGGCUCCCUUUAAAUAUAUUAGCGGAACUAUGCAGGACCGGCCUUGGUUUGAUAAUCCUAUCUAUGCCAUCGCUGAGAAGCUCUUGNUCAGCNUAUAGCUGUCUUCGGACUGUCUCUUUGGAGGCAAACUUUUAAUCUUGACCUCAAAUCAGGUAGGACUACCCGCUGAACUUAAGCAUAUCAAUAAGCGGAGGAAAAGAAACUAACAAGGAUUCCCCUAGUAACUGCGAGUGAAGCGGGNAAAGCUCAAAUUUAAAAUCUGGCCGCCUUUGGUUGCCCGAGUUGUAGUUUAGAGAAGUGUUAUCCGCGCCGGCCCGUGUACAAGUUUCUUUGAAUAGAACAUCAUAGAGGGUGAUAAUCCCGUCUUUGACAUGGACAUCCGGGGCUUUUGUGAUGCGCUCUCAAUGAGUCGAGUUGUUUGGGAAUGCAGCUCUAAAUGGGUGGUAAAUUCCAUCUAAAGCUAAAUAUCGGCGAGAGACCGAUAGCGAACAAGUACCGUGAGGGAAAGAUGAAAAGAACUUUGGAAAGAGAGUUAAACAGUACGUGAAAUUGCUAAAAGGGAAACGCUUGAAGUCAGUCACGUUUGUCAGGGAUCAACCUCGCUCUUUUGUAAGGUGCACUUCCUGGUUUUACGGGUCAGCAUCAGUUUUGGCCGUCGGAUAAAGGUUGAGGGAAUGUGGCAUCUUCGGAUGUGUUAUAGCCCUUAAUUCGGAUACGUCGACUGGGACUGAGGAACUCAGCACGCCUUUAUGGUCGGGGCUUCGGCUCACGUUCAGUGCUUAGGAUGCUGGCAUAAUGGCUUUAAUCGACC